AACGAACGCUGGCGGCAUGCCUAACACAUGCAAGUCGAACGAGACCUUCGGGUCUAGUGGCGCACGGGUGCGUAACGCGUGGGAACCUGCCCUUAGGUUCGGAAUAACUCCCCGAGAGGGGUGCUAAUACCGGAUAAUGUCUUCGGACCAAAGAUUUAUCGCCUUUGGAUGGGCCCGCGUUGGAUUAGCUAGUUGGUAGGGUAAAAGCCUACCAAGGCGACGAUCCAUAGCUGGUCUGAGAGGAUGAUCAGCCACACUGGGACUGAGACACGGCCCAGACUCCUACGGGAGGCAGCAGUGGGGAAUAUUGGACAAUGGGCGAAAGCCUGAUCCAGCAAGGCCGCGUGAGUGAUGAAGGCCUUAGGGUUGUAAAGCUCUUUUACCCGGGAUGAUAAUGACAGUACCGGGAGAAUAAGCUCCGGCUAACUCCGU
rnacentral:rRNA from 1 species